CACGUAGGCACCAAGCGUUGUUCGGAUUUACUGGGCGUAAAGGGCGCGUAGGCGGCCACCGCAAGUCGACUGUGAAAUCUCCGGGCUUAACCCGGAAAGGUCAGCCGAUACUGCGGGGCUAGAGUGCAGAAGGGGCAACUGGAAUUCUCGGUGUAGCGGUGAAAUGCGUAGAUAUCGAGAGGAACACCUGCGGCGAAGGCGGCUAUCUGGCGGUGCACUGACGCUGAGGCGCGAAAGCGUGGGGAGCAAACAGG
rnacentral:rRNA from 1 species